rnacentral:rRNA from 1 species
UACGGGGGAUCCAAGCGUUAUCCGGAAUUACUGGGCGUAAAGAGUUGCGUAGGCGGCAUAGUAAGCAGUGUGUGAAAUGAUAGGGCUCAACCUUAUGUCCAUACACUGAACUGCUAAGCUAGAGUAUGAGAGAGGUCGCUGGAAUUUCUAGUGUAGGAGUGAAAUCCGUAGAUAUUAGAAGGAACACCGAUGGCGUAGGCAGGCGACUGGCUCAUUACUGACGCUCAGGCACGAAAGCGUGGGGAGCGACCGGG